UCUUCUGCUUCUGGGAUAGCAGCAGAGCUUGGAAUCCCACUGACCCACCGAGGUGUUGCAAAUAAUAUUUAAAUUCAGAUGUAGCCAAGAGCUGAAACUAGAAGGAAUCAAUAUGUAAAUGAGAACCUAGUGAGUACCUUCAGCUUACGCAGAGACCCAGAGAUUUCCUCUGUCAAAAGAACCUGAAGAUGAUCAAAGCACAUAUUAGAGGUUCUAAGCAAAACAGAGGGAAGGACCACAAUACAUAAGAGUUCCAGAUGUUUGGAGCACUUAAGAAGCUUCAUUACCUUAGGCAUUUCAAAGCCAAGUAGCUCAAUUUCCCACUGAACAUAAGCUCCUCUAUGUCUUCCCCAUGUUUCCUAGCCCAAAAUUUUCAACAAAGUUUCAGUACAGCAAAAUGUUAUUUGGACGCUAAUUUAAUAUUAACCCUACAAUCCAUUCUCCUAAUCUCAAAACCCUAGCCUUAGGUUUACCUCGUUGAACCCAUGAUUCAGUAGAAACAUAAUCGGAACACAUUGCCCAUCAUAACCAACAAAUCCAGAAUACGAAUCAGUACCAAAAGCAUUUCCACCAAAACAUGGCAUGAAUUCAGAAAAUCAAAUAACCCACAGUCCAACGGACAGAGACCAGGCUACCUGUAUUCGCCGGUGCAAAACUGCCUGCCAGAAAAGAAAGAUAAAUCAUCCAUCAGUCCAUGAUCAAACAA
rnacentral:lncRNA from 1 species